rnacentral:rRNA from 1 species
GACGAACGCUGGCGGCGUGCUUAACACAUGCAAGUCGAACGAAGUGGCGAACGGGUGAGUAACGCGUAAUCAACCUGCCCUUCCGAGGGGGACAACAGUUGGAAACGACUGCUAAUACAUAAUAAUGAAGGAGGGGAUUGCGUUUGAUUAGCUAUUGGGAGGGGUAACGGCCAAACAAGGCGAGGAUCAGUAGCCGGGCUGGGAGGAUUAACGGCCACAUUGGGACUGAGACACGGCCCAGACUCCUACGGGAGGCAGCAGUGGGGAAGCUUCCGCAAUUGACGAAAGUCUGACGUAGCAACGCCGCGUGAUUGAUGACGGCCUUCGGGUUGGAAAGCUCUUUUAAUCGGGACGCGGUACCGGAAUAGAAAGCCACGGCUAACUACGUGCCAGCAGCCGCGGUAAUUC